GUUUUUAAGGUGUAAGACAUAUUACAUUUUCACUGUAAAGUUGAAGAAAGAAUCUUCUAAAAAUA
rnacentral:tRNA from 1 species